CAGUAUUGUGCUAAAUGUCUCUUAACUGCUUGUUUUAAUAAGUCAAUUGGUUAAUACCUAGCAUACAUCAUAUUUUCAGUGUGGUGAAGAUAGUCCAACUUGCAGUGCAUUGAACAUGCAUUUCUUCUGCCAGUAUGUAAACACAAAGUUUCACAAAGUCAUUUAGUCUUUGAGUAUCCCCACUUUAAAGAGGAGCUGUCACUUCUCAUUUUAUUCACAAUUGAAUAAAAC